UACGGGGGGGGCAAGCGUUGUUCGGAAUUACUGGGCGUAAAGGGCUCGUAGGCGGCCAACUAAGUCUGAUGUGAAAUCUCCCGGCUUAACUGGGAGGGGUCAUUGGAAACUGCCGAGCUUGAGGCGAUGAGAGGGGUGUAGAAUUCCCGGUGUAGUGGUGGAAUGCGUAGAUAUCGGGAGGAAUACCAGUGGCGAAAGCGGCACCCUGGCAUUAGCCUGACGCUCAUGUGCGAAGGCGUGGGGAGCGAACGGG
rnacentral:rRNA from 1 species